rnacentral:rRNA from 1 species
CCUACGGGAGGCAGCAGUGAGGAAUAUUGGUCAAUGGGCGCGAGCCUGAACCAGCCAAGUCGCGUGAGGGAGGACGGCCCUACGGGUUGUAAACCUCUUUUGCCGGGGAGCAACGGGCGUCACGUGUGGCGCCCCUGAGAGUACCCGGAGACAAAGCCUCGGCUAACUCUGUGCCAGCGGCCGCGGUAAUCCGGAGGGUGCGAGGGUUAUCCGGUUUUAUUGGGUUUAAAGGGUGGGUAGGCGGAUCGUUAAGUCAGUGGUCAAAUUGAGGGGCUCAACCCCUGCCCGCCAUUGAAACUGGCGAGCUUGAGUGGAAGAGAGGUAGGCGGAAUGCGUGGUGUAGCGGUGAAAUGCAUAGAUAUCACGCAGAACCCCGAUUGCGAAGGCAGCAUGCCGGAUUCCGACUGACGCUGAAGCACGAAAGCGUGGGGAUCGAACAGGAUUAGAUACCCCGGUAGUC